CCUUUUCUAGGGCCGAUCCUGUGGCACAUGGAGGUUCCCAGGCUAGGGAAUCUAAUUGGAGCUGUAAUCGCCGGCCUACACCAGAGCCACAGCAACUCAGGAUCCGAGCUGCAUCUGCAACCUACACCACAGCUCACGGCAACGCUGGAUCCUUAACCCACUGAGCAAGGCCAGGGAUGGAACCCGCAACCUCAUGGUUCCUAGUCGGAUUCGUUAACCACUGAACCAUGACAGGAACUCCCGGAACCCCUUAUUUUAUGUUCUGACAUUGACACUGCAGGCCAAGCCCACUGUUAAGCUGCUGAUACAUAGCAAAUCACGACCUGGAACUGGUGUGGGCUUUGAAGAAGAGUUAAAAGUUUGUCGCAGUGUUGUUUUUUGAUGAGAAUUUCGAAGGCCUGAGCCCUGGGGUAGAGCUUUGGAUGAGUCCUUCUAUACAAAACAGGUGAUUAAAGAUCCAGCUCCUAAGGACCGGCAUCCUCGGAGCCAUUUUCCCAAAGGGCAGGGGCAACCAGAGGACGGAUGGGGACCUGGCUAAGGCUCUGCCUGUGGUCAGCAGAGGGCUAACAGGCAGAUGACCAGGGCCAUCCCUCCCCCCAAUCCAGGCCUUCACUGGAUGAAACAGUCUGUGGGGCAGGAAGAGUACCUUUUCUCUGCCCAAACCCCAGCCCACUGGGGAGCAAGUCCACUUUUCCCAACGUGUUUUGCUCCCACUGGGAGAUGAUUUGGGUCAGUGUCCCAUUAGCCCAGGACAGAGUCCCUGCCCCUCCUCCUGACAACUGCUGGACAGUCAACCCUCACUGCCAACACCCUGCGUUGGCCCAAGCCGCUUCCUCUCCAGACCUCCUGCCCCCCUCUCUCCUCGGCCUGCCAGAGUCCAGGAAAGGCAGAAAGCUCUGGACAGGCCCCCAGUUGCCCUGUAGGCUGUAGAUAAAAUAAAGUCAGUGGCUAUUCCCUAAGGUCCGCACUGCUCAGGCUCCACUACUAGGGGGAGCCCUCUAAGGCAGAGCCACAGCGCCACCUGGUGGUAAAGGGCCAACUGUGCAGCUAGGCCUGAGACAGCACAAAGACAAAUACCUCCUGGGUGCCCCUUUCUUAACUAUUUCAGUAGUUGCUGGGGGUCCUCCCUAGAUCCCAGGAGAGCCCCAUCCUGAGGGCUGAGGGACGACUGUAAAGUUGAAGUCCCCAGUCACAUCUCUGACACACACACCCCCAUACACAUAGCAAAACCCCUUAGAAAGGGCCUGGGCUUCUGUGUCACGAGGACUAGAACAAAAUAAUGCCAUUUGAAGCAACAUGGAUGAAACCAGAGACUCUCUUACUGAAUGAAGUCAGAAAGAGAAAGACAAAUACCAUAUGAUAUCACUUAUAUCUGGAAUCUAAUAUAUGACACAAUUGAACCUUUCCACAGAAAAGAAAAUCAUGGACUUGGAGAAUAGACUUGUGGCUGCCAAGGGGGAGGGAGAGGGAGUGGGGUGGAUGGGGAGCCUGGGGUUAAUAGAUGCAAACUACUGCCUUUGGAGUGGAUUAGCAAUGAGAUCCUGCUGUAUAGCACUGGGAACGACAUCUAGUCACUUAUGAUGGAGCACGAUAAUGUGAGAAAAAAGAAUGUAUCCAUGUAUGUGUAACUGGGUCACCAUGCUGUAUAGUAGAAAAAAAAAUUGUAUUGGGGAAAUAACAAUUUUUAAAAAAAGAAGAAGAAGAAAAUACAAUUGCUUCUUUUUUUUCUUUCUUUUUUUUUUUUUUUUUU
rnacentral:lncRNA from 1 species